GCCUUGCUAGCUCAAUCGGUAGAGCGUGAGACUCUUAAUCUCAAGGCUGUGGGUUCGACCCCCACGUAGGGCU